rnacentral:rRNA from 1 species
UACGAAGGGGGCUGGCGUUGUUCGGAUUUACUGGGCGUAAAGCGCACGUAGGCGGAUUGUUAAGUCGGGGGUGAAAUCCUGGAGCUCAACUCCAGAACUGCCUUCGAUACUGGCAAUCUCGAGUCCGGAAGAGGUAAGUGGAACUCCUAGUGUAGAGGUGGAAUUCGUAGAUAUUAGGAAGAACACCAGUGGCGAAGGCGGCUUACUGGUCCGGUACUGACGCUGAGGUGCGAAAGCGUGGGGAGCAAACAGG